ensembl:lincRNA
UGGCAGCGGCCGGGAGGGCGCGGCGUGGGACGGACGGAGCGAGGGGGCUGCUUGCUGCCCGCCUCAGUCAGACGCGGCUCCGCUCCGGCCUCCGGGAGAAAACAGUCCCCAGCGCCACCUCCACGGCCGCUGCUACCGCUACUGAGCCAACAAAGGGGCGUGCGUCACCGCGUCGCGCUGCGUCGCGCGUCACACCUCCGUGCGUCACUGCGCCCGCCCCGCCGCCCCUGCGUGCGGUGUGGGAGACCCCACGGCUCGGCCCUCGGGGGCCCGGGAGCUUGGCGGCGCGGGAAGAGCCUUCGCGGUUCGGUCCGCCGCGGUUUUGGGCCGGCCGGCGACCCGUACAGCUUUUUCCGAGAAGCGGCUGCGGCCUCCUCGUCACCGAGACCCGGAUCCUGUAGGUGCGGGUUUCGCCGCAGGCCUUGCGAGCAGGCCUGUUCAGACUUCCCGCGGGGAAGGAGGCCUUCCUACGCUGCCUGGCAGGCACCGACCUCCCGCCCGCGCGAGGGUCAUCCCGGGGACCCCUGCUGUUCAGCUAAAAUCCCUGUUGCCCAAGUUCCGGAAGGGAAGUCAGCUGCACGCGGAGCCUCUGACCGGGCGACAGGUGUUGCUGUGUUUUCCCAGGAAGAAGGUCUCCAUAGCAACUUGAAGAUUGUGUGGAAGAGGAGUGGACCUGAUAUGCUUGUCUUCACGACACUCCCUGCCUAGGGCUUCUCUAAG